GGAGGGAGCGGAGCGGUUCCUGUGGGCUGUCAGUCCCGGCCUCUCUGUCCCCUUCCCCAACCACGGGCCCGCCGCCAUCGCUCCCGGGCCUCCCCAGCAGCCGCCACCAGCCAGGGGAGCUGUGGUUCUUUUCAGUGAAUAUAUUGCGCAAGGAAGGAGAAUUAAUCAGCAGUAGAGAGAGCAGUGUCCUUUAGUUAUGGAUAUCCUGGAACUAACGAGCUUCAAGGAUGCAGUAAAUCAAGAUAUGAAUGUGUGUCUCAUACAUAAGUUGCUGACUUGGCAAAAGACUCAGGUCCAGGUAUCCUAAAACUGAACUAUCUCCAUUAGACCCUUCCCUGGAGGAUGCACAGAAAUCAGCUGGAAUUACACAACUUGUGUGGAAAUGAUUAACCAUUCAUAAAAGAGGGGCUGUAGCUGAGAGGUUGCCAGCACUGAAUUUCUGUGUGUAAGUAACAUCAGGAGAAGUCUGGAGGGAUGUGCUGUAUUUGUGGAAUACUGUGGUACCUCCAGGCUUGUGCAACUCUGAAAUAAAUAAAUAAUCAAUGUCUCCCUCGAGUGUGUAAUUGCACCCCAGGUAAUGAAUCUGAUUUUUGCAGACAAAAGCAGCUUUGGUUAAAGCAGAUGAAACAAUCACUCCUCCAGACCAAAGACAACUCACAGCAGUGGAGAAGCUGAUUUCUUUUUAAAACAUGUAUAUUUAGAACUGUAACGCUUACAAUUUCAUUAAACAAUCUUAGUACAAUGUGUUUAAUCUAACAGUAUUUUACAGAACAAUGUGAAAAAUGAUUUAAUAGCAAACCAUGAAAAUGGAAUUAAUAAUACCUGCAGUGUCAAAGUCACUAACUUGUUACCUUUUCCAGUCAAAGAAUCCCAGCAGUCAUUCGCACUAAAUGAUGCUUUGGGUUUUAUCCAGAAUCAAAUGGUAUGAUUUCCACAGAGAAAGGGCAUUCCUUCACAGAAAGAAGAUGCAUAAUAAGAACAUUUUCAGCUAGCAGGUCUACUUUAUACAUCUAUUUAGAAUUUUAAAAUUAAAAAUAAAAUUAAAAAUGUUUAGACCAGUGCAGGGUGCCUAUUAAUUUUUCAACUUAUUUGUGGUUCUUUUUGAAAAGAGGGUUUGUUUUUUAUUUCCCUUGUGUAAUUUAGCAGAGGAAAAGAAAAUAACAACAAUGGAUUUGUCUAAUGAACAGCUCCUCACUUUAGUUUUGGUGACAAGCGUUUGACAUGGGACUGUUUCCUCUGUGGAGUCUGUUGACAAUGCAUCAUUAUAGAUCUGCAAGUAGAAAAGGUCAUUCUCACAUUAAAUGCACAAGUUUCAAUAUCAGAAGCAGGACAUCAGAAGAAGUUGUAAUUUUUCCAGUCACAGGUGAAUUUGCAACAUUCACAAAAAUUACACUUUUUUUUUUUUUACAUUUUUUGUAUUUACAUUUCAGAUAUAAAUAAUGAAAUUCUUUAAGUUACAUGUUUUAACUUUGCUUCACGAUUAUUCUACAUCUGCAAGCUUUCCUGUAUCAAACCAACCUCCUUCUUUCAUCAUGAAUGCACAAGUCUGGCCUCUAAUCAGUAAUAAUUACAUUAAGCCUUUAUGAUGAAAGGUUGACUGUUCAAGUAUCACAUCAUAUUGAUAUUUUUGCCCCAACUUAAAAAUUGGGGCAGCAAACCAAGCCACUUGGAAAUGGUAAUAAAAGAAAUUAAUCUGGGAACUCAAUGAGCCAAAUAAUUUAUUAUUAAAUUCUAUCAAUAUCUUUCUUUGGUAAGAAAUAUGCAAGAGGAUAACCCAAAGCCCACCCCC